rnacentral:rRNA from 1 species
UGAAGAGUUUGAUCAUGGCUCAGAUUGAACGCUGGCGGCAGGCCUAACACAUGCAAGUCGAACGGUAACAGGAAGCAGCUUGCUGCUUCGCUGACGAGUGGCGGACGGGUGAGUAAUGUCUGGGAAACUGCCUGAUGGAGGGGGAUAACUACUGGAAACGGUGGCUAAUACCGCAUAACGUCGCAAGACCAAAGAGGGGGACCUUCGGGCCUCUUGCCAUCAGAUGUGCCCAGAUGGGAUUAGCU